rnacentral:rRNA from 1 species
AACGAACGCUGGCGGUAGGCCUAACACAUGCAAGUCGAACGGCAGCACAGAGGAGCUUGCCCCUUGGGUGGCGAGUGGCGGACGGGUGAGGAAUACAUCGGAAUCUACUCUGUCGUGGGGGAUAACGUAGGGAAACUUACGCUAAUACCGCAUACGACCUACGGGUGAAAGCAGGGGACCUUCGGGCCUUGCGCGAUUGAAUGAGCCGAUGUCGGAUUAGCUAGUUGGCGGGGUAAAGGCCCACCAAGGAGACGAUCCGUAGCUGGUCUGAGAGGAUGAUCAGCCACACUGGAACUGAGACACGGUCCAGACUCCUACGGGAGGAAGCAGUGGGGAAUAUUGGACAAUGGGCGCAAGCCUGAUCCAGCCAUACCGCGUGGGUGAAGAAGGCCUUCGGGUUGUAAAGCCCUUUUGUUGGGAAAGAAAUCCAGCUGGUUAAUACCCGGUUGGGAUGACGGUACCCAAAGAAGAAGCCCCGGCUAACUUCGUGCCAGCCGCCGCGGUAA